GAAUGUGAGGGCGAUCUGGCUGUGACAUGUGUCACCCCAUUAAUCGCCAGGGUUGAUUCGGCUGAUCUGGCUGGCUAGGCGUGUGUCGCCUUCCUCCCUCACUGCACUCCAAGUGCAUCCGUCCCGAAGCUGUGCGCUUGGUGGAAGAGGACUAGUAUCUGACUAUCCCUGAUAGAGGAGCACUGUUCUCCGGUCUAGGAUAUAUGAGUAGCUGCACUUCCCUGCUAGAACCUCCAAACAAGCUGUCAAAAAUACCCAGCACAAAGAAGGGUUGGCAGAGCGGCUCAAGUGGUAGAGCGCC
rnacentral:snRNA from 1 species